AUAUAACCUUGUUAGGUGAGGCUCCUAUACAAACAUAAGCUAUUGCGCAGAAACGUCGAAAGACGCCAAUGUGUAGAACAGGAAUUGUCGGAUUAAGGCUUUUCAUAAAAUAGCUAAGAAAGGAAAGAACUUUCUUUACGUUGUAUAGUGCUAAAACUCGGACGAUGAGAUUGCUG
rfam:Enterococcus sp. 2G9_DIV0600 scaffold00001, whole genome shotgun sequence.